rnacentral:rRNA from 1 species
CCCUAUCUUUAGUUGCCAUCACUUCGGGUGGGCACUCUGAAGAGACUGCCAGCGACAAGCCGGAGGAAGGUGGGGACGACGUCAAGUCAUCAUGGCCCUUACGUCUUGGGCUACACACGUGCUACAAUGGCUAGUACAAUGGGUCGCAAACUCGCGAGGGUGAGCCAAUCCCAUCAAAGCUAGUCUCAGUUCAGAUUGCAGGCUGCAACUCGCCUGCAUGAAGUUGGAAUCGCUAGUAAUCGUGGAUCAGCAUUGCCACGGUGAAUACNUUCCCGGGCCUUGNACACA